rnacentral:rRNA from 1 species
CGUAGGGUGCAAGCGUUAAUCGGAAUUACUGGGCGUAAAGCGUGCGCAGGCGGUUGUGCAAGACAGAUGUGAAAUCCCCGGGCUCAACCUGGGAAUUGCAUUCGUGACUGCACGGCUAGAGUGUGUCAGAGGGGGGUAGAAUUCCACGUGUAGCAGUGAAAUGCGUAGAGAUGUGGAGGAAUACCGAUGGCGAAGGCAGCCCCCUGGGAUAACACUGACGCUCAUGCACGAAAGCGUGGGGAGCAAACAGGAUUAGAUACCCUGGUAGUCCACGCCCUAAACGAUGUCAACUAGUUGUCGGGUCUUAAUUGACUUGGUAACGCAGCUAACGCGUGAAGUUGACCGCCUGGGGAGUACGGUCGCAAGAUUA